GGAGUUGUGACAGAGUCAGGUCUAUUGUUGAUCCCGAACUAUGAAGGGCAUGACCAGCUAGACACGGUGUUUGCCGCUGGAAAGGCAAUAAGCAACGUGCCGUGGGUUCGAAUCCCUGCCAACUCCC
rnacentral:tRNA from 1 species